AGGAUUCCCCUAGUAACUGCGAGUGAAGCGGGAAAAGCUCAAAUUUAAAAUCUGUGCGGUCUUUGGCUGUCCGAGUUGUAAUCUAGAGAAGUGUUAUCUGCGCUGGACCGUGUACAAGUCUCCUGGAAUGGAGCGUCAUAGAGGGUGAGAAUCCCGUCUCUGACACGGACUGCCAGGGCUUUGUGAUGCACUCUCAAAGAGUCGAGUUGUUUGGGAAUGCAGCUCAAAAUGGGUGGUAAAUUCCAUCUAAAGCUAAAUAUUGGCGAGAGACCGAUAGCGAACAAGUACCGUGAGGGAAAGAUGAAAAGAACUUUGGAAAGAGAGUUAAACAGUACGUGAAAUUGCUGAAAGGGAAACGCUUGAAGUCAGUCGCGUUGGCUAGGGAUCAACCUUGCUUUUGCUUGGUGUACUUUCUGGUUAACGGGUCAGCAUCAAUUUUGAUCAUUGGAAAAAGGUUAGAGAAAUGUGGCAUCUUUGGAUGUGUUAUAGCCCUUGAUUGUAUACAAUGGUUGGGAUUGAGGAACUCAGC
rnacentral:rRNA from 1 species